GAGGCAGCACCUCCUCCCGGGCUGGGGCCUGACCCCGCGGGUAACGCCUGUGCGCACCCGGUGCAGCCCGCGGCGUCUGAACAAGACCCACGGGGACAGCGGUGUGUAGAAUUCGGUGCUGUGCACACGGGAGCCACGGAGGAGCGUGUUAAGACCUUAAGUCACAUGACCUUCCUGCCCUGGGUUCAGGGUGGGACUGAGCCCUGGAAAGGAGGCCCGUUCAACUGAAAUGAAGUGCUCAGUAAGUACCUUUGACUUUUCUGAAGGCCACGUGAAAACGUUCAAAGGAACAGGUGAAACUACCCGGCACAGCUCAGCCAUACAGUGCUUUUCUGGCAAAUCGAAGCCCUGGGUUCCAGCCCAGCAAAAACAAGAUAAUUCAGAAAACAAGAGAGAAAGUCACAGGUGAGGUUGGUUGUGAUGUCUUUAAAGCAGUAUAUGUAAAAUGUCAUUGAUGAACUAUGCAAACAGUACAAUGAGGUGUUGCUACUAAUAACAUGUCUUUAUGGUGCUACUCAUUAGGACAGGGCUCAAAGAAAUCUCUGGAGACAGAGUCCCACUCUCAAAAUGCAAAGUUUAUUGACAAGAAUAACUUGCCCGUCUGUCCAGUAGAGUGGCACAACAUAACACAUUUAUUUGAAUAGGGUUUUUGUAACUUUUUAACAAGGAGAAAGAGCAAGCUAGAAAUGACUUUGGGUGCGGGUGGCUGGGUAAUAACAGAUUUUUGUAUUUAGGGACCUUUGGGGGGGGGCGUUAUGGGAACAGGGCAUUUUAAGUUUCUUUUUCUUGGCAUCUUAUGUUAUGGGAACAGGGAAUCUUAAGUUUUUUUCUUGGUAGUUCUGAGGCUCAGAACCAAAAUGAGUUACAAC
rnacentral:lncRNA from 1 species